GUAAAGGCGAUGAAGAGAACAGUAGCUGGAAAGAAUCCUUCACAGAGAGCUCCAGAAGGUGAAAAGGAGCAGGGAAUUUUUUAGUGAACCAAGCCUCUGAGCUUCACACGGGAACUAGACAGGGGAUCGUGUGACGGGAGCUCCCGUUAUAGAGAUAAGGUAUACCGAAUCAGAAUUGGCGUACCUGAUGAGAUUAAUAUGGUGACAUAUUAAUAAACUGGGGUGGCACCGCGACGAAUGAAUAACCUCGCCCCCAAG
rnacentral:ncRNA from 1 species